CCAGAUUAUGAAUGGAAUUGUAACUAUCAAGACCAAGAUUGCAUCUCAAGUCCAACAUAUCCAUCAGAUUUCUCAUAUCCACCUCCAAUGCAACAAGAAGAAAAUUCAAGGUUGAAGGAAUUCAUGUCAAAAAGCAUAGAAGACCGUGAAGAGAUGAUGAUGAGUCAGGAGUUAUCAAGCCAAAAUCUUAACAAACAGAUGGAACAAAUCAUUAAUUCAUCAGUGAAUGGUCCUCAAUACAUGGAUUUCAAAACUGAGAAAGAUAAUUCAAGACUGG
rnacentral:lncRNA from 1 species